GGCCUCUCAGGGUCACAUCUGGAGAGUUUCCAGUCCUCUACCAGUCUCGGCUACGGGAGGGAGAGUCAGGCAGAGGCCUAUCCAUUCCAUUCCUAGCUUGGCCAAUGCCUAGCGAGUGGAAGGCAAUCUGAUACAAGG
rnacentral:snoRNA from 1 species